UACUGAGGUCUCAAGCGUUGUUCGGAUUCAUUGGGCGUAAAGGGCGCGUAGGCGGGGAUGUAAGUCGGGCGUGAAAUCCCCAGGCUCAACCUGGGAACUGCACUCGAAACUGCGUUUCUUGAGUAUCGGAGAGGAAAGCGGAAUUCCUGGUGUAGCGGUGAAAUGCGCAGAUAUCAGGAAGAACACCCGUGGCGAAGGCGGCUCUCUGGGACGGUACUGACGCUGAGACGCGAAAGCGUGGGGAGCGAACAGG
rnacentral:rRNA from 1 species